CAGCAGGUGUCUCCAGCAAGGGGAUAAGUCAGGCUGGGGAGGAACCCUACCCAGCCUCAGGACCUCGGGAGCAGAAUCAGGGCACCUCCACCAUGGCCUGGACUCCUCUCAUCCUCAGCCUCCUCACUUACUGCACAGGUUCCGUAGCAUCCUAUGUGCUGACUCAGCCCCCCUCAGUGUCGGUGAGCCUGGGACAGACAGCCAGGAUCACCUGUGGAGGAAACAACAUUGAAAGUAAAAGUGUUCAAUGGUACCAGCAGAAGUCAGGCCAAACCCCUGUGCUGAUUAUCUAUAAUGAUAGCAACCGGCCCUCAGGAAUCCCCGACCGAUUCUCAGGUACCAACUCGGGGAACACGGCCACCCUGACCAUCAGCGGGGCCCGGGCCGAGGACGAGGCUGACUAUUACUGUCAGGUGUGGGACACCAGUAGUGAUGCUCACAGUGACACAGGAAGAUGGGGAAGUGAGACACAAACUCAUUUCCAGUCUGUGUUACAUCUCCUCCAGGCCCAGGAUGUCUGUGGACCGUGA